rnacentral:misc_RNA from 1 species
UGAAAAUGGGCUACUCCAGGGUUCUUAUUGUUAGUAGUCUACUUCUAGUGUUUCAAUUAUCAACUGUAGUGGCGAAAGGCAAAGCGAUUGGAUCUCCAAUCAUGGCACCAGCACCAGCACCAGGUCCUGAAUACACAAACCUAACGGACUUACUCUCCGUUGCAGGGCCUUUUCAUACAUUCCUUAACUACCUUGUAUCGACUAAAGUCAUCGAGACUUUCCAAGCCCAAGCUAACAAUACAGAAGAAGGGAUCACACUUUUUGUUCCUAAAGACUCAGCCUUUACCUCACUGAAAAAGCCCUCACUUUCCAAUCUUACCUCAGAACAACUUAAGUCCCUUUGCCUUUUCCACGCAUUGCCACAUUACUAUAGUCUAGCUGAUUUCAAGAACCUUAGUGAUGUUAGCCCUAUUAAUACCUUGGCUGGAGGGAACUUAUACUCUUUGAACUUCACCGAUGACUCUGGGACCGUUCAUCUUAACUCAGGAUGGUCUAGGACUAAAGUUAGCAGCGCUGUUCGCACCACUUAUCCAGUUGCUGUUUAUCAGGUGGACAAGGUACUUCUUCCUGAAGCCAUAUUCGGGACGGAUUUACCACCAAUGCCAGCUCCAGCACCAGCA